CACGUAGGGUGCAAGCGUUGUCCGGAAUUAUUGGGCGUAAAGAGCUCGUAGGCGGCCUGUCACGUCGACUGUGAAAACCUAGGGCUCAACCCUGGGCCUGCAGUCGAUACGGGCAGGCUUGAGUGUGGGUAGGGGAGACUGGAAUUCCUGGUGUAGCGGUGAAAUGCGCAGAUAUCAGGAGGAACACCGGUGGCGAAGGCGGGUCUCUGGGCCAUUACUGACGCUGAGAAGCGAAAGCAUGGGGAGCGAACAGG
rnacentral:rRNA from 1 species